rnacentral:rRNA from 1 species
AGUGAACGCUGGCGGUAGGCCUAACACAUGCAAGUCGAACGGCAGCACAGUAAGAGCUUGCUCUUACGGGUGGCGAGUGGCGGACGGGUGAGGCAUACAUCGGAAUCUACUUUUUCGUGGGGGAUAACGUAGGGAAACUUACGCUAAUACCGCAUACGACCUACGGGUGAAAGCAGGGGAUCUUCGGACCUUUCGCGAUUGAAUGAGCUGAUGUCGGAUUAGCUAGUUGGCGGGGUAAAGGCCCACCAAGGCGACGAUCCGUAGCUGGUCUGAGAGGAUGAUCAGCCACACUGGAACUGAGACACGGUCCAGACUCCUACGGGAGGCAGCAGUGGGGAAUAUUGGACAAUGGGCGCAAGCCUGAUCCAGCCAUACCGCGUGAGUGAAGAAGGCCUUCGGGUUGUAAAGCCCUUUUGUUGGGAAAGAAAAGCAGCAGAUUAAUACCCCGCUGUUCUGACGGUACCCAAAGAAUAAGCACCGGCUAACUUCGUG